GAUGAACGCUGGCGGCGUGCCUAAUACAUGCAAGUCGAGCGAACAGAUGAGGAGCUUGCUCCUCUGACGUUAGCGGCGGACGGGUGAGUAACACGUGGAUAACCUACCUAUAAGACUGGGAUAACUUCGGGAAACCGGAGCUAAUACCGGAUAAUAUAUUGAACCGCAUGGUUCAAUAGUGAAAGACGGUUUUGCUGUCACUUAUAGGUGGAUCCGCGCCGCAUUAGCUAGUUGGUAAGGUAACGGCUUACCAAGGCAACGAUGCGUAGCCGACCUGAGAGGGUGAUCGGCCACACUGGAACUGAGACACGGUCCAGACUCCUACGGGAGGCAGCAGUAGGGAAUCUUCCGCAAUGGGCGAAAGCCUGACGGAGCAACGCCGCGUGAGUGAUGAAGGUCUUCGGAUCGUAAAACUCUGUUAUUAGGGAAGAACAAAUGUGUAAGUAACUAUGCACGUCUUGACGGUACCUAAUCAGAAAGCCACGGCUAACUACGUG
rnacentral:rRNA from 1 species